CUGUUUUAUUUAUUUUUAUUCCAGGGAAAGAAUUGAACUUUGUUCUUUGGAGUUCUUUUCUUUAUUCUUUUUCUUCUCAAAUCUUUUUGGCUUUUGGGUUGUGGGUUGUUGCAGUUCUCAUUUUUGGGUGGUGAUUGUGUUUAAUUUGUUUGCUGCAAGUAACGUUUCCCUUCUUCUCGUUUUUUACACUUUUGUCGAAGGAGAAGAUCGAGAAUCAUUGGGAUUUCCUUCGGUGACUUGAUUCGUGGGUGUGGCUGUUGUUCAUUUUGGGGGUGGGACAUAUAUCA